GCGAUGUUUAGCCUGUGGUAGACGCACCAGGUUUAGGUCCUGACGGUGGCAACACCGUGCCGGUUCGAGUCCGGCUCCGCGCACCA
rnacentral:tRNA from 2 species